rnacentral:lncRNA from 1 species
AGUUACUCCAUACUAAGUACUAGGGAGUUAUUACAAUUAUGAAAAUAAAGCUCACAAGAAAAUUUUAUAUGUUCUUCCCAAAUAUAUGAACAUGUUACUUUCGGGAGUUUAACUAUUUUAUUUCAGGACGAGUACGCAACCGAGUCUGGAUAGUGGGGGACAGUAUCGUAAGAAGGGCCAAAGAGCGAGCUACUGCACAGAACCGCCUGCACUUGGGAGCAGAGAAGGGUGCAGUACAGUGGCAUGGUCAAGGAGGUGCUACUCUCCAUGACUUCCCCCGAAUGGUCACAAAUAGGCUGAAUUACAACGCCCCACCCGCACUGGCGAUCGUUCACCUGGGAACAAACGACUUGGGUCAGAGAGAUGCAUGCCGUUGCAGAAUCGCAAUCGAUACAGCAAUUCAAACUCUACGAGCAAGAAUGCCAGGAACCCACAUAGCCUGGUCUGGUAUUCUUCCAAGAUUGUUUUACUACGGUAGCAGACCAGGCCCAACAUCACAAGAGACAAUGGAUGGUGUGCGGAAGUCACUUAACAAAUUCGCAAAGAGGAGAAUCUCCCAGAUGGUGAACACAUCAAUGAUAGUGCACAACAUAGAUACCAAAGAGCACAAUCUGUUCCAUAGGGAUGGAAUUCAUCUCUCAGAUGUGGGCUCGGACAUGCUCAUCGAUAAAUUCGAAUCUGCAGCCAAGGACACUGGCCUUCUCUGAACAGAUUCAGCCUAAUGUCAAUAGUAUUCUAUGUAAACCUAAAGUGAGCGACAAAAGUCAAUUAGUUGAAUUGAGUUAUAUUUGGGUUAUUCCAUGAGAUUGGGUGUGAAAAUAUAAGAUGAUAGCCAGGUAACGGGAGGCAUGAGAAAUACUAUUACACACUGAAAAGUAAUUCAGUCGUGGAAGAUUCUGAUACAUUGAAUAUAUAACUCUGUACUGUCAAGUCAUGCUUGUUUCAAUAAGUAAUCUAUAAAAGAUAUAUACUGUGACACAAAAUUGUUUACCUAUGGGGAUAAGGCAGUCAGUGCGCAUGUAAAAGGGUGAUGUAUGAUUCGUCAAUGUAAAUGUAUUUGGCUUUGUUUAUCUUAUGAGGUGGAAAUGUUUUGAUUCUGAAUCUGGAAAAUCUGAAGUCACAUGGCAUUACAUUAUAAUUGUCUAGUGAUAAGGGAGCCUGAGUCUGCUGGCAAGGACUGGAGUCAGUAAGACUUGGUCGCACUAAAUGUUUCAGGAACCAGUGGGCCAUAGGGGAAUUUUCCCGACUACGAAAUGUAGCUAGCUCGACGGAUCUUUAAGUCCGAUCACAAUAGCCGGUUUUGCCCCUAUCUUUCCUCGCGCAGCAGGAGUAGCUCCAAACAGUUUAGAAUGCAAAUGCAUUAACACCUCAACAUGAAAUGUAUAGUUACCCAACUUUAAUGCAUGACACAAGUGUAGAAGUGAACGGCAAUGAGCAUAGUUCACAUGAUGACAUCAUGAGUGUAUGGUUAAAUAGGUCAGGAUGAAUACCUACAGCAACCGGGGGAGAAAGUAGGAGAUCUCAAGAGAUCUGUAUAGAAGCUGAAUCUAGUUUUAAAAAAACAAACAAUAAUAAUAAAUUAAUUAAUUAAUCACAAAAAAAAAAAAAAAAAAAAAAAGGUAUUGGGUGGAGGUUUGAAUUUUAUAUAAUGUAAUUUGAACACGCGGGACUGCCAAUAUCUUUGGCCAAGCAGGCCGGGAUACGCGUCCGCGUUUAGGAGUGAUGAGGGGGACAGGAACCCCAAGAAGAGGGGGAUAUCAGCGGGAGUUACUAUCCUGCUGGUGGAUCACGUUCAGAGCCCCAUGAAUUGGGGGGCUACCGGGAGGAGCUACUAUCCUUUCUGGUGAUCACGUGACCAGAGAUCCUCAGGAUUAUUCUGACAAAUUAAUUCUCACAGUUUGAUAUUGCAGAUAGGAUUAUAUUACAUGUAUUUUGGUUUGGAGUUUCGCAGAAUUAUGUUCCUGAGUUUUCAUGUUCGUACAUAGCAAUUUGCAUCAUGUAUGUGUAUUGGUAUUACAGGCAGACAUUGCCUAUUUUAAAUGUUAACGCCUUGAAGCGGAAAUAAAUGUCGAGCAAUUGCAA